GAUCCGUUGGUGAACCAGCGGAGGGAUCAUUACCGAGUUUACAACUCCCAAACCCAAUGUGAACCAUACCAAACUGUUGCCUCGGCGGGGUCACGCCCCGGGUGCGUCGCAGCCGCGGAACCAGGCGCCCGCCGGAGGGACCAACCAAACUCUUUCUGUAGUCCCCUCGCGGACGUUAUUUUUACAGCUCUGAGCAAAAAUUCAAAAUGAAUCAAAACUUUCAACAACGGAUCUCUUGGUUCUG
rnacentral:misc_RNA from 1 species